rnacentral:lncRNA from 1 species
UUAUAGACAAGUGAAGGAGGUGCCUAUUAGUAGCUCGCUGGCAGGGACUUUGGCAGAGCUUAUUAUAAGAGAAAUCGAAACUAAUAAACUGAGUAAUAUUAUCAAGAAGCUAGUUUCUAUCUUAGAUAUAUUGAUGAUAUAUUUAUGAUCUGGCAGGAAGAGGAUAAAAUUAUGCAGAUGUCGAGAGAAUUUACAUUGCCUGCAUAUGGGCUGAAACCGAAUUUGGACCAGGAAACCAAAGAACAUGCGCACUUUUUAGAUGUUGAUAUUGUAGUUAAAGAUGGAUCCUUCUACAUGAAAGUUUAUAAAAAAACCUUCUGGAGCCACAGUAAUUAUCCCGAGCUGGUCAAAUGAUAGAUGGUCCCAUAAAAAGGUGGCUCUCAGAUCCCUCAUAGAGAGAGCGGUAACGCAUUGUAAUACAGUUGAAGCCUAUGAAGAAGAAAUCGAGAACAUAACACAAACAGCAAGAAACCACGGCUAUGAACCAUUUUUAGUUAGAAAGUCAAAGAAAGAGAUAGAAAAUAAAAGAUAUGAAAGAGAAGCUAGAGAGAGAGAAAGAGGAAGUAUAGCAGCCCCAGUACAAAGAAGGAAGGAAGAGGCGU